GAUUAUACAUAAAUGAAAAGAUAAUCUUUAUUAGUUUUACUUUGGGCUUUUGAAUAAUUUUGAUCCAAAGGUUCUAAAUCAUUCUUUUAUGAUCUUUGUCCUUCUUUCUCAUUGGUCCAUUUUUCAAAACUCAGAUUACUAUUUCUGACCAUUGAUUACUUUUAAUCCAAUGGCCAAGAAUCAAUGGCCAAAAUCUAUCUUUUCAUUUAUCUUCUUGUGGACUCGGUUGAUCUCCUCCUCUGUAUCAUUCUUCUCAUCUCUCACUGUGUCAAUCACACACACACACGAUUCACGUAACACACAAACAUCUCCUUUCUCUGUAUAACUUCCCUCAUCUCUCCUCUCUCACACACACACGAAUCUGAAGGUGGAGCCAAGCCAGCGACCCCGGAUCUGAGGAUGCAUGACCACCGCCAUCUAUCCCAUUCGCCACCAUCCUCACCACCAACGAUGUGGUGUUUGUGGCUAGGAGGCGACGCAGAAUCCGGUGGUCGUGCAGAGUGGUGGUCAUGGGCUUGCGGUGAUGAGGAAACAGAAAAGCUGGUGGUCGCGAACAGAGUGGUGGUCAUGGGGCGGCGAGGAGGCAACAGAGAAUCUAGUGGUCGUGAGACGAGGCGGUGGUCAUGGGGCUUGCGGCAACGAACGGAGAAGUUCUUGAGGAGGCGGCGGCAAAAACAUUAGGUUUAGAUUAGGUUUAGUUAAGAUUAGAUUUAAUUUGUAAAACAUCUGGUUUAGUAAAAACCGUUUCUUAUUUUCUAUCCAAAUGUAAUCUAUAAUGUUUAAUAAAAAUAAUUCAUUACACUUUUA